ensembl:lncRNA
AUCAGGUAUUAUUUCCGUUCCUAUGGUAGAACUUUCCGGAGCAAUAGAAAUUAACUGCAACCCAGUAACGAACCUUCUCGAGUUUGUCUAUUCUAGCGUUGAAAACAUCCUGCUCUAUUAUUAACAGUUUUUGGUGAAUUCUGUAGGGAUGCAGCCAUUUUGAAAUAACCCGGAAAGUAUUAGAAAGUUACUGAUUCAUUUUAACUGUUUCUCCAAGGAAUCUUUGGAAAGUGCAAGCAUCAGUUAUCAUUCUCAGUAGCAUUGGAAACACUUUUCACUGGUUUUAGAUUUUCUUGGGAAGAAAGCCGUCUUUUAAAUCAUAGUUCUGAAGUAGAUUAUCUUCAGUGAUAAUUGGGUUACUUUGAGAGAAAAUAUGCAUCUUUUGAAAAUUUUACACUGAGGAUAAGUCAAAUUUCUUAAUGGCAAAGAUGGUCCCAAUCAAAGACUGCAUAGGAUUGUUCUUCAUAAGAUUCACUCAAUAUUGUAUUCGAAUCCUUCAACAGUUUGACAAUGGCUACAACACCUUGGAUUCAUUCACUUCACUUGACCUGCAGAGAAUGGCUGAUCUAUCAUUUCAUGGAAGUGUUAAUUAUGGCAUAUCCUUGCUCACUUCACCUUCUGGAAGAUGGCCCCUUCAUGUGCAUAGCCUCUGGGGACAGUUUUAUGCUGUGAGAGACUUCCUCCACAUGCAAACCUGUCAAUGCGUA